GGAGAUGUCAGGACGUUACCAUUCCUUGAAGUUCUCCGCCUUCUUUUCCUUUCUCGCCUUUCUUCCUCCACGUCGACGAGCUCCUCUUCCUCGCUCUGCAAAUUCCAUUGCAUCUUUGUCUAAGUGAGAGAUUGAGAGAAAACAAGCGAAUAAGUGCUCAUGUUCAGCGGCGGAUGGACGGUGAUGGUGGCGCGGGCAUCGGCCCAUUGGUCGCAAUACCUAGCCUGCAAUCCGGACAGACUUACCAACGACGAGCUCCUCCACUUACUACUCUACCUUCCGCUUCAUCAUCUCCGCCGCUUUGCCCUCUGCCUCUUCUCGUUCUUCUGUCUACCCGACCCAAACCCCCGACGGCACCAGAUCCGAGUUUACUACUAUAUGUCGUCAUCCUCUUCUUCGUCCUCUGAUUACUCUGAUGAAGAUGAAGACUCUCAUUCGGAUUGAGACGAGUGGGACGGCAUAGGGGGACUUCUUGUUAUUGUACUGCAUUGAUUCUUCCUUUUUAGUAGUAAUGAUCCUGUUUGUCUGAUUGUCUGGUGCUGUGGCCUUCAAGUGGCUCAGCUUUGUAUAGUCUUCUGCUUUAGAUGAUUUGUUGAUCUGUUAAAGCAUUCAUCACUGCCUGAAUGAAUUCAGCUUGUAAUUGAUUCAUAAUGUAACAAGCAAUACUUCACCGACAAGGAUGACCUAACUCUCUUCUCUUUAUCUUUUUUUUUUUUUUUUGCUUUGUUAUUGAUUAUUUGUUUGAUAUUCUUGAGUUGAUAGACUUUUUAAUCUCUCUACUAUUAUUCAUAAAUGGAAAACUAAUAGCUGGAGGUAUUUUUUAAGAUACUUCCCGACAAGCAACGAGUUCCAUUCCCACCGUGUGAUUUCAAUCCAACGGUUUACGCUCUGCAUUCUCAAGAACGCCUGCAUCGUUAGCAAACCAGCUUCCGUUCUCCACUUCACUAACGCCUCAGCUCUCUCUAUUUUACCCGAUUGAUUUCCCUCUCAAUGCUAGCAAGCAGAUCUGAUGGGCAUUCAAGUCAAAACCCAGCAAGACGAUGAUAUCGUUGAUGCCUUCUGGCUUUUUCGAAUACUACGCCGUCUUGCUUAGUUAGGAGGCAUACAUUGAAACGAUCGAGAUCUUUUGAGGGGACUCUAAUCGAUCUGAUCUUGUUCAUUGUUCGAGCUUCAGCACACAGACAUCCAUUUACAGUGUAUACAGACAGUGGUAAACACCAUCAAAGCAUAUCGCCAAAGCAACCACCAAAGGAGAUCGUCGCCGGCUGCAUCACCGGCGGCGGCAUCCCACUCGCCGUCGCCACCAACAC